rnacentral:rRNA from 1 species
UACGUAGGGUGCAAGCGUUGUUCGGAAUUACUGGGCGUAAAGCGCACGUAGGCGGCUUUCUAAGUCGGGGGUGAAAUCCUGGAGCUCAACUCCAGAACUGCCUUCGAUACUGGAGAGCUCGAGUCCGGGAGAGGUGAGUGGAACUGGCGAGUGUAGAGGUGAAAUUCGUAGAUAUUCGCAAGAACACCAGUGGCGAAGGCGGACUCACUGGCCCGGUACUGACGCUGAGGUGCGAAAGCGGUGGGGAGCAAACAGGG